UGGGGAAUAUUGGACAAUGGGCGCAAGCCUGAUCCAGCCAUGCCGCGUGAGUGAUGAAGGCCCUAGGGUUGUAAAGCUCUUUUGUGCGGGAAGAUAAUGACGGUACCGCAAGAAUAAGCCCCGGCUAACUUCGUGCCAGCAGCCGCGGUAAUACGAAGGGGGCUAGCGUUGUUCGGAAUUACUGGGCGUAAAGCGCGUGUAGGCGGUUGUCCAAGUUGGAUGUGAAAGCCUUGAGCUUAACUCAAGAAAUGCAUUCAGGACUGGAUGACUAGAGGACCGGAGAGGAUAGUGGAAUUCCCAGUGUAGUGGUGAAAUACGUAGAGAUUGGGAAGAACACCAGUGGCGAAGGCGGCUAUCUGGACGGUUUCUGACGCUAAGACGCGAAAGCGUGGGGAGCAAACAGGAUUAGAUACCCUGGUAGUCCACGCCGUAAACGAUGGGUGCUAGACGUUGGCGAGCUUGCUCGUCAGUGUCGCAGCUAACGCGUUAAGCACCCCGCCUGGGGAGUACGGCCGCAAGGUUG
rnacentral:rRNA from 1 species